GUCAAUCAGAUGCCUCUUUGGAGAAAGGAAAAGUGGCGAGCAAGGCAAGCCUCCCACAGGAAAAGAGUCGGACCUCCGUAAUAGGAACCAGAGAGCCCCAGACCCAGCACUGAUUUUCUUAUCCCUUCACAAAUUGGAAAGGCAUGAAAAGGGCAGAAAUGAAGACUGAUCAAGCAAUAGAGACCUCAUUUUAAAUUGACAUGGAUUGCAAUUGCCAAGAUAUGGAAGCAACCUAAGUGUCUAUCAACAGAUGAAUGGAUAAAGAAGAUGUGGUACACACACACACACACACACACACACACACACACACACGAUGGAAUACUACUCAGCCAUAAAAAGAAUGAAAUUCUGCUAUUUGCUGCAAUGUGGAUGGUCAUAGAAAAUAUUAUCCAUAGUGAAAUGUCAGAGAAAGACAAAUACUGUACGUUAUUACUUAUAUGUGGAAUCUAAAAAAUAAAACAAACUAGUGAACAUAACAAAAAAGAAACAUUCACAGAUAUAGUGGUUACCGACUAUGCAGACCGAAGCUAUGGUUAUCA